AAAAGGAUUACCAAAGCGCCUUGCACAAAGGUCAACUAUUAACAACAACAGCAUGUCCUGAAAACCAAACAUUUUUUGUUUUUUUAGCCUGUCAUUAAAGACUUGUGCUUUUUCAUUAUGGCAGAAACAGAUAAGUUGCGUGGAAUGGAAGUCAUGGCUUUCGGCAGAUUGAAACUUGGGUUCGACACCUGAUCCGGUACAAUAUCCCGUGGCCACUCGCGUCCACUGUCACCUGAAACUCUUGAGCCGAGAUUGCGCCAAGCGUUUUUAGCCUGACCGCCCGGCCAAUGGCGAGCGGGCGCAA